UCUACACUCUAAAACAUGUCUACAUACAUCCGUAUGUUGUAGUCCAUUUGAGAUGGCUAGAAAGACAAUUAUUUGAAAACGGAGGGAGUAUAUACCCUUAAAGAGGGUUUAUAUUUUAUUCAUUUGCAUUGUACAAUAAUCAGCUUUCCAAACAGAAAAAAGGCAUUACAUCUUAAAACUUUGUUGCAUAUAAGAAGUAACAUAUAGAAGCAAACUGGAAAUGAUACAUUUAUUCUCACCCUAUGUGAUGCAUCUUGCACAAGAGAUGUACGCAUUGACAAUUUACUAAUAAGAUUAAACGCCGCAGUUAAUAUAUAUUUACAAAGAAAGAUGUACACAUUGCUAUCUCAUACCAAGACCGGGCAUGUUACAACCAUUGCCAUCUUAUACCAUUCUAGUGCGGUCGCCAGCGAGAUUGAUACUGGUGAUGAUAUGAUUUAAAGCUCGUGCAAAUUCUUGCACAUGACUUGGUUGUGGUUUAGCAAUUAAUCGGCAUAUACUAUGCUAACCAAAUGUAGCACUUAGUUUAGAAAGCAACAUAGCAUGUGAAUAUUUCAGUACAGGGUGUUCAGUAAAACAAGAAUCUGCAUGACGACGGUCUACUCAAGAUAACAUGUCAGAUUAUAAUUCAAUAUACCACCACUUAAUCACUGAAUAUGCCAGCUUUACUGUAUUAUACAUGGGCAACCUUUCUGAAGUCCCUCUGCCAUAUUUUAGGCAGGAUCUCAAGAACAUACAUUCAUUUUGCAUGAGGCCUAGGAUUAUGUAAGGUGGAGGUGUCGGACAGUAGAUAGAGGAGCACAGUUGAUUCUUCUCAUCAAUGUUCUGGCAUGUGAGCAAUUUGAGAAGAUACCUAGGCGACCUCUCUACAACGCUAGCCAAUGUGACAUGGCUAAUGGAGAGUGGAGUGAAGGUGAGUAACAACCAAGGCAGAGCUGCAAAACAAUUCUGAACUUAGGCUACGACGCUACGUUACAAAAGUGUGAACCAAACACCUUAUAAGGAUUCAUUAUUACCACCUCUAUAAUCCAUGUGCUUCAUAAGAAACAAAAUUUUGUUCCAGACCUCAUGUAGCAGCAUAGUAGGAUCAGCAGUUAGUGCAUAAUUGAAAGAAAUUACACUCCAAAUUAGUAAUCGUCCUAUUAGUGAAAAAUCACUAAUUUUCACAAUACAUUGUUCCUCCUCAAACUAUAUACUACAAUAGUUUUCAGUAGGCUAAUUCAGAACUAUUUCUCAAUGGAUGCACAUGACAUGUUACUUCUUUAUCUUGUUGUCUUGAACGAAUGGGAGAUAAUGAGCUCAAGGAUAAGGAUGCACAUGACAUGUUACUUCUCGAUACCUACACUGAAACAAUAUCCAUCAUGCCUUUCUAUUCCAAAAAAAUGGUUAACCAUGUGAGAGGUAGAAGUGCAUAUAUAUGAGCAUGUCUUCACAUAUGAACAUUGGAAAUUAAUGGGUAGUGAGGAAGUUAACAUUGAAAUGCAUAAUGAAUGAACGAAAAUCCAUCUAUCUAAACAUCAUUUAAAGAACUGAAGUAUAUGAAAUUUUAGGGGGCAAUAGACCUCACAGUCACGCUGCAAACUUACACUAUAUAGCCAAUCUAUUGUCGAGAGAGGCAUUUUGGAGGCCGAGCUCCAUAGAGGCCUUUAUUUUUGAAAAAUUCAAAUUCAAACUUUUAUGGUUCAAAAAAUUCUGAAAAGAAAUAUGCAUGCAUGUAAGCAUGUAACCCACAUGUGUGUAAAAAUUUAUGAUGAAAUACCUUGAGUUGUGACCUGUACAAAAAAGACAAAUUGAUGGCCUGGGAGGAUGAAUAGUAUCGUGUGUUAAACAGCCCCAGAUUUGUUUUUUUGCACAACCCUCAUUUCAAUGUAUUCCGAACUGAAAAUUUACACACAUGUGUGUUAUGCCUUCAUGUAUAUCUGUAUUUAUUUUCAGAAUUUUCUGAAAUGUAAAAAUAUGAAUUUUGAUGAAAUUUCAAAUUUGAAUUUGGAGGCCUCACUGGAGGCCGAGCUCUAAAUGGGAUUUCUGAUCUAUUGUCUCAUCAAUAUAAUUUAAAAGAAAAAUCAAGUGACGUGUUUCUCAAUUAUACUAAAUAAAAUGGUCGAACUAUGUAGCAGGAUGUCCUGACCAACCACAAAAAGUAUCUGCUAACUAUCGCACGAUGCCCUUAACGCUAUAAGAAAGUGUAGAACAGAAAAGAGGAACUAAACUGACUUAUGAGUUCUUGUCCAUAAAUGUGGCAGUUAAGAAUAAGCAUGACAGAGACGUCUUACCAUACAUAGAGCAAAGAAACAAAAUUAAGUCGGAUCAAUUAUUUGGUUCAUGUUCAUUGCCUUCUUAGUGCAGCCAUGAUGAACCAAUACUCAUGGUUACGGACAAGAAAAAUAUCCCACAUUAUCCAAUUUGAGGUUAAAAAAUUAUCUCAAAUAAUUAGUCGCUCUGCAUUCUUCUGCUACACACAUCAACCAUUCAGGUCCUACAUUCAAAAAUCACAAGAGUUACCUGGAAAAUUGUCUAUCAUCUCCUAGUAUUUAGUUAUCCCGGUUUUGAAAUCCCAACUGAGUACUUGAUGGGUGUUUGCAUCAUGGAAAUUUAAACAGCUUGCCUUAUACUAACCUCCCUGGCCUGCAAUUAGUUUUUGUCCCCAUGCUCAUGCCUGCUGUAUCACAUGGAAGGGGGUCAGUGCCUGGUACUCAGGUCCAUGAACCAUCAGACGAUCAACAGUAAUCUAAAAUCGAUUGAUCAAUACAUAAGCACCUGCAAGGAUAACCACCUACGACCAUACUGUUUCCUUGUACACAGCCUGCAGCAGAACAUAUACUGUCAAUCAGGAAGCACAACCAAAAAUAGAGAACCAAAUAGCCUAUAACAAUCUAAUAGCUGGGCUGGAUGUGUAACCAAAUACCACAACGGCAAAAUAGCUUUCGUUAGCGCGAUACAAGAGCACAGGCAUAUCAUAGAAACUCUAGAAAUUUGAACAAAUUGCUUCCGACCCAUCCAGUAAUGGGUGUGGCUCCCUAUUUAGUUUACUCCAAUACUUCAAUAACAUCUGAUUUUUAAGUCUGCUCAACAGAUGGGACAUCUGAUUGUUUUGGAGUACAGGGUACUGGACAAAACAAAGGGAAAACCAGAAGAUGUUCGUCCGUUAAAAAAAACUCAUAAUUUUCUGAAUAUUUUGAUAUUUUCUGGAUUUAACUGUUCAUGGCAGGAACAUGUGGUCUCGGUCCAGACCGGAACUUUGUGAGCUAAUAAGUUACUUUACUUCCUGAACUUAAAUACAGUCUACAUAAUGUACCCAAUGUACAAAGCUUAUAUUUCAUCAAACCAGAAACCUUGAAAGAAUGAUACACAUGCAUCUAGUUGUCCCUAACGAAUUUAAAGUAGAUACGUGUAUUUGCAAUGUGCAUUGGUACUUCAAAACAAUCAUCUUGCAUCUAUUUUUUACCUGAGAGCUUCUCACAAAGGCAACCAACAUCCAUUACUAAAACAUUAUUUACGCAUCUUCUAUCGUAUUAGCAGUCACCCAAGAUCUCAUACACUGGAAGAGAAAAUCAAGGGAUAAAUUAGGGGCAAGGUUGAAACAUCAGCACCAAAUGAUCGCUGACAGCAUGUCACCAAGGAUUGAGAAUUUUUUGGCGACAAAUGGAACUCCCUCUAGCGAAAUAGAAACCAUCUCCAUAAUGGAAGGGGGCAUCCUCCACAGCUUCAUGGUCGCACGGGAACGGCAGGGACGCGUCCUGCACAUGUGCCAGAGCUGCUAGGCGACCUGCGAGACAACAUCGAGAUGCUCGCGAGAGGGGAUGAUUCACAAAGAUCUGCAGAAUUUGUAUGUAACUAAAAAUAUACAAUCAGACCAUAGGUGAAGACUUACGCUGGUGGUUCCUGGAAAAACAGCAGCAAGCUCGAGCGGUCAGGCGGGCCACAUCUCCGUAUUCUCGAGGCCUCCUCGUCCUUAAAGUCAGCACCAACCCCGUGGGCGCUUGCCAUAGUUCCCAUCGACAGUAACCAGGGUGGC
rnacentral:lncRNA from 1 species